rnacentral:rRNA from 1 species
UACAGAGGGGGCAAGCGUUGUUCGGAAUUACUGGGCGUAAAGGGCGCGUAGGCGGCCUGCUAAGUCGAACGUGAAAUCCCCGGGCUCAACCCGGGAACUGCGUCCGAUACUGGCAGGCUUGAAUCCGGGAGAGGGAUGUGGAAUUCCAGGUGUAGCGGUGAAAUGCGUAGAUAUCUGGAGGAACACCGGUGGCGAAGGCGGCAUCCUGGACCAACACUGACGCUGAUGAGCGAAAGCCAGGGGAGCAAACGGG